rnacentral:rRNA from 1 species
CCCCUAGAUGUUCUGGGCCGCACGCGCGCUACACUGAACAGUUCAACAAGUCUUAACCUUGGCCGAUAGGUCUGGGUAAUCUUUGAACGCUGUUCGUGAUUGGGAUAGACCUUUGCAAUUAUGGGUCUUCAACGAGGAAUUCCUAGUAAACGCAAGUCAUCAGCUUGCAUUGAUUACGUCCCUGCCCUUUGUACACACCGCCCGUCGCUCCUACCGAUUGGGUGCUCCGGUGAAUUGUUUGGACUGCUGUCAGUCUUUUUGGCUGUCGGCGAGAAGCUCUGUGAACCUUAGCACCUAGAGGAAGGAGAAGUCGUAACA